CAGCAGCCACGGUAAUACGUAGGUGGCAAGCGUUGUCCGGAAUUAUUGGGCGUAAAGCGCGCGCAGGCGGAUAGGUCAGUCUGUCUUAAAAGUUCGGGGCUUAACCCCGUGAUGGGAUGGAAACUGCCAAUCUAGAGUAUCGGAGAGGAAAGUGGAAUUCCUAGUGUAGCGGUGAAAUGCGUAGAUAUUAGGAAGAACACCAGUGGCGAAGGCGACUUUCUGGACGAAAACUGACGCUGAGGCGCGAAAGCCAGGGGAGCGAACGGGAUUAGAUACCCCAGUAGUCCCUGUCUCUUAUACA
rnacentral:rRNA from 1 species